rnacentral:rRNA from 1 species
GAUGAACGCUGGCGGCGUGCCUAAUACAUGCAAGUCGAGCGAACGGACGAGAAGCUUGCUUCUCUGAUGUUAGCGGCGGACGGGUGAGUAACACGUGGAUAACCUACCUAUAAGACUGGGAUAACUUCGGGAAACCGGAGCUAAUACCGGAUAAUAUUUUGAACCGCAUGGUUCAAAAGUGAAAGACGGUCUUGCUGUCACUUAUAGAUGGAUCCGCGCUGCAUUAGCUAGUUGGUAAGGUAACGGCUUACCAAGGCAACGAUGCAUAGCCGACCUGAUAGGGUGGUCGGCCAGAUUGGAACUAGGACCCGGGCCAGACGCCUACGGGAGGCAGCAGUAGGGAAUCUUUCGAAAUGGGCGAAAGCCUGACGGAGCAACGCCGCGUGAGUGAUGAAGGUCUUCGGAUCGUAAAACUCUGUUAUUAGGGAAGAACAUAUGUGUAAGUAACUGUGCACAUCUUGACGGUACCUAAUCAGAAAGCCACGGCUAACUACGUG